GUAGUACUCUCCGUCCGGAAAUACUUGUGAUUAAAUUGAACAAAAAGAAAUGGAUCUAGACGUAUUUUAGGUCGAGAUACAUCUUUUUUCAUCUAUUUUGAUGACAAGUAUUUGGACGGAGGAAGUACUAG
rfam:Triticum aestivum genome assembly, contig: Triticum_aestivum_CS42_TGACv1_scaffold_321902_4BL